rnacentral:lncRNA from 1 species
UUCACCACAACUUAAUUAAAUGCUUAGGGUUUAUUUGAAUUUAUUUAUUUGUGCUUAUAUACUACCAUAAGCAUUUAUUAGACUCUUCAGGAGAAGAAUUUAUGAAAACUACUUAUGACAUGCCUAUAUGUUGUUUUAACCUACGAGGAAUGCUAGCAACACUUAUUUUUGAACACUUUCUCUAACACUCACUCUUUCAUUGGAUAAAACCAAUGUAUGUUCCACCACUUUGUGUGGGUUCAUUUUUCAAAGUGUAGACCCACAAUGAUUUAAACCAAUAAGAGAGUGGGUGACAGAGAGAGUGCUCAAAAGAGAGUGUUGCUAGCAUUCCUCUUAACCUAUUUAUGUAACCUUUUCAAGAUAGUAUAGGAAAACAACUUAUAGUUUAUACGUAAAAGCAUUGACUUCAUUUUAUUUUGUAUUUUAAAAAUAGCUUAUUCAUAAGUGUUUAUAAGCUGCAAAUCAAGAUGUUUAUCCAAACAUGGCC